rnacentral:rRNA from 1 species
AGUAAUAUAUCGGAACGUGCCCUGUAGCGGGGGAUAGCCCGGCGAAAGCCGGAUUAAUACCGCAUACGCUCUACGGAGGAAAGCGGGGGUUCUUGGGCAACUGAGGACCUCGCACUAUAGGAGCGGCCGAUAUCGGAUUAGCUAGUUGGCGGGGUAAAAGCCCACCAAGGCGACGAUCCGUAGCUGGUCUGAGAGGAUGAUCAGCCACACUGGAACUGAGACACGGUCCAG